rnacentral:rRNA from 1 species
AUUGAACGCUGGCGGCAGGCCUAACACAUGCAAGUCGAGCGGCAGCGGGAAAGUAGCUUGCUACUUUUGCCGGCGAGCGGCGGACGGGUGAGUAAUGCCUGGGGAUCUGCCCAGUCGAGGGGGAUAACAGUUGGAAACGACUGCUAAUACCGCAUACGCCCUACGGGGGAAAGCAGGGGACCUUCGGGCCUUGCGCGAUUGGAUGAACCCAGGUGGGAUUAGCUAGUUGGUGAGGUAAUGGCUCACCAAGGCGACGAUCCCUAGCUGGUCUGAGAGGAUGAUCAGCCACACUGGAACUGAGACACGGUCCAGACUCCUACGGGAGGCAGCAGUGGGGAAUAUUGCACAAUGGGGGAAACCCUGAUGCAGCCAUGCCGCGUGUGUGAAGAAGGCCUUCGGGUUGUAAAGCACUUUCAGCGAGGAGGAAA